rnacentral:misc_RNA from 1 species
GUUUACAGAGAGACAAGCAGAGCAAUGGUGGGCAGAGAACCGUGCACGAGUUUACGAACGAUAUAAUGUACGUGUGAUGGACAAGUCUAGUAUAGGCAUUGGAAGUGAAGAGACUCAUUGAUUUGUGCAAACAGCCGCAGAAACCAAAUCAUUUUGUAUAUGGAAAACAAAAGGUUUGUUCAAUUUCCAAGCUCUCUACUUAACAAGUGGGGUCAUAUUGACCGUUAAGAUUUAGAUUGGAACUAUCAUGAUAUAGGUUUUAAGAAAGGGAC